AAAAAGUUGGAUAUGAAAGACCGGAGCUCAACUCCGUGUUUGUGUUCAAAACUCUUAAACUAGAAUUAGGGAGAGGUAAGCGGAAUUCUAAGUGUAGGGGUGCAAUCCGUAGAUACUUAGAGGAACACCAAAAGCGAAGGCAGCUUACUGGAACUAUAUUGACGCUGAGGAACGAAAGCGUGGGUAGCGAAAAGGAUUAGAUACCCUUGUAGUCCACGCCCUAAACGAUGAUAACUAAGUGUUGCGACUCGCUCGCAGUGCUGAAGCUAACGCGAUAAGUUAUCCACCUGAGGAGUACGGUCGCAAGAUUAAAACUCAAAGGAAUAGACGGGGACCCACACAAGCAGUGGAUCACGUGGUUUAAUUCGACAAUAAACGGGGAACCUUACCCAGACUUGACAUCUACCGAAUCUUUUAGAAAUAAGAGAGUGCCUUUAUUGGAGCGGUAAGACAGGUGCUGCAUGGUUGUCGUCAGCUCGUGCCUUGAGGUGUUCGGUUAAGUCCGUUAACGAGCGCAACCCAUGUCGUUAGUUAUUAUGUCUAACGAGACUGCCUUGGUUAACAAGGAGGAAGGUGUGGAUGACGUCAAAUCAGCAUGGCUUUUACGUCUGGGGCUACACACAUGAUACAAUGGUACGUACAAAGAGCAGCAAUGUGGUGACACUGAGCUAAUCUUAAAAGCGUAUCUCAGUCCGGAUUGAAGUCUGAAACUCGACUUCAUGAAGU
rnacentral:rRNA from 1 species